rnacentral:rRNA from 1 species
CGCAAUGGGCGCAANCCUGACGGAGCAACGCCGCGUGAGGGAUGAAGGCCUCUGGGCUGUAAACCUCUUUUAUCAAGGAAGAAGAUCUGACGGUACUUGAUGAAUAAGCCACGGCUAAUUCCGUGCCAGCAGCCGCGGUAAUACGGGAGUGGCAAGCGUUAUCCGGAAUUAUUAGGCGUAAAGCGUCCGCAGGCGGUUUUACAAGUCUGUCGUUAAGACGUGGAGCUCAACUCCAUUUCGGCGAUGGAAACUGUAAGACUAGAGUGUGGUAGGGGCAGAGGGAAUUCCCGGUGUGGCGGUGAAAUGCGUAGAUAUCGGGAAGAACACCAGUGGCGAAGGCGCUCUGCUGGCCAUAACUGACGCUCAUGGACGGAAGCCAGGGGAGCGAAAGGGAUUAGAUACCCCUGUAGUCCUGGCCGUAAACGAUGAACACUAGGUGUCGGGGGAACCGACCCUCUCGGUGUCGUAGCCAACGCGUUAAGUGUUCCGCCUGGGGAGUACGCACGCAAGUGUGAAACUCAAAGGAAUUGACGGGGGCCCGCACAAGCGGUGGAGUAUGUGGUUUAAUUCGAUGCAACGCGAAGAACCUUACCAGGGUCUGACAUCCUGCGAAUUCCUUGGAAACUUGGAAGUGCCUUCGGGAGGCAGUGACCAGGUGGUGCAUGGCG